CUCGAACAAGUUCCAGCACACAAUUUUGCCUUUUUAUGUGCUCGUUGAAUUUGUUGCCGAUUCACUCUAAGGCUCCGUUUGGUUGGAUGUAAAACAUUUCAAUGUAAAAUGAUUUUUCAUGUAAAACAUUUUACAAUGGAAAAUAAUUCAGAUGCAAAGAUAAUUUUCCUUUGUUUGGUUCAAUGUAAAAAAAGUUAUGGAAAAGAGAAAAUUGGAAGGGGAAGGGAGAGGAUGGAUAAGAGGAUAGUAAAAGGUUGCUAAGGAAGAGGGAGGAAAUUAUGUUUUCCCUUCCUUUUGAAAGGAAAAUGAUUUUCACCUAAAGCUCCCUUGAUGAAAAUCUUGUUUUACACCCCUUAUCAAACCAAACAACGGAAAAUGAAAGGAAAAGGAAAACUCAUUUUCAUGGAAAUAUUUUACACCCUACCAAACAGAGCCUAAUUGUUAGUGCAAACUCAAAGCAUAAGCAAUAAAUAAGUUAAGCCUCAUUUUGUUAUGGGCAAUUGAGUUGUCUCACUCUAGACUCUAAAGAACAAAAGAGAAAAUGAUGGGAUAAAAUAUGGUUCAAAGAGCUACUUCUUACAGAGGGACACACUUACACAACAAUAUAAUUUUGGGAUAUAUAGAACCUCUUUUGGCUUCUAAGUGAUGUUGAAAUUCAAUGUGAAGGGAGCAAAAUUUGGUUUUAAGUGUCUUGGUUUGUUAGAAGGAAAAAGUAGCUAUUGCAUCUAAUACAAUAAUAAGUAUAAUUGUUGACUAAUAAUUGAUUAGCAUUAAGUAUUAAAGUUAACUUAAUACUUUCUCCUGUAAAAAAAAAAACUUAAUACUUUCUCCAUUCUCUUUUAUUUGUCGACACUUUUAUGUUUGAGUGUUCUUUUUUGGCGGUAACAUCACCUAUUUUAGAUAUAUUUUUCUCUAUAUCUCUUCACGUCACAUAAACUUUUUUUUAAAAAAAUUCUUUCUCUUACCUCUUCUCAUCACUGUAAUCAUAUGAGUAUAUAAAAAAUGUUUUUCUUCACAGUAGACGACAUGUUCUACAUUUUUUUCCCACGACCCUUUGUUGCAACUAAAAGUCUAAAAUAGAACUCAGGAUGUAAAAGUCUUUGUAAUAUCAAGUUUUUUAUAAUAUUAAAGAUUUUGUAUUAUUAUUUUGUCUAAGCUAAUUUAUGACUAAAGCUUAUCAUUGUACUUGUUAAAUCUGUUUAACAUAUGUGCCAAACUUGUUGCCGUACAAAUUUUUAAUUUAGACAGGCUUAGCGGACUCAAAUCAUACGUUUUAUCAGCACGAGAUCUAUCAAUUGCAUGGGCCAACGCCCCACUAUAUUGGUCCUGGAAAAAGUCCUCUGAUUCAAGGUUUAAGGAAAACGUGGAGCUAAGAACCACAUCAUGGCUAGAAAUCCAUGGCUAUCUAAAAAUGAAAAUGUUAUCACCAAAAACAACUUAUGGUACUCGGUGCUAUUACAUAAAAAUCGCCCUCUCUCUAAAUUUUUUUCCUCUGCCUUCUCUCUACAACCAAAAACAAAAACUCCCUAACCCUAAAACUCGCCGGAGAUCCGGCGCCGCGUAGGUUUCCGGCGGAUCUCCGGCGAGUUCCACUGUUUUUCUUUGGCUUUUCGGUCGGUUCUCCAUCGGGUUUCAUAGCAUUCACACUUCCGCCUCGUCGCCUAGUUUUCUUUCGUCUAGUCGAGUAGUUUUUCGGGUGGGUUCCGUCGCUUGUCGCCAGCUUUUCGGUCGCUCCUCUCACUCACGCCGUUUCCGCCGUCUUCGCCGCCUCCGACCAUAGUGAUUUCGUUUUGGUUUGGUUCCCCUUCCCCCUUUCCCUUGUUUUUCGUGGUUAGGUCAUCCCCCCUCCCCUUAGUUAUUAGUUUCGGGCAUCCCCUCCCCCUCCCCUUUGUCCGGUGUUUUGGGCCUCCCUCUCCCCUUUCCCCCUUAGUGUUGUUUCAAAAACAAAGUAAAGUUACAGGGCUUCCCCUCCCCCUUUCCCCCUUAGUGUUCUCGCACAGAAAAGUAAAAAUUAUAGGUUUUUCCCCCUUAGUUCGCUGUUAGUGGUUGGCUUUCCCUUCCCCCUUAGUGUUAUGGUCGAAGGUUCUCAAGGUGGUGGUGUCGUUA